rnacentral:rRNA from 1 species
AUACGAAGGCGGCAAGCGUUGUUCGGAAUAACUGGGCGUAAAGCGCACGUAGGCGGAAUGUUAAGUUAGAGGUGAAAUCCCAGGGCUCAACCCUGGAACUGCCUUUAAUACUGGCAAUCUAGAGACCGAGAGAGGUGAGUGGAAUUCCGAGUGUAGAGGUGAAAUUCGUAGAUAUUCGGAGGAACACCAGUGGCGAAGGCGGCUCACUGGCUCGGUACUGACGCUGAGGUGCGAAAGCGUGGGGAGCAAACAGGAUUAGAUACCCUAGUAGUCC